CCCAUCCCAUGUUCCACCAAGUGUCCCUUUCCCAUGACCCACCCCAUGUCCAUCCCAUGUCCCAUCAGAUGUCCACAGCCCAUGUCCAUCACAUGUCCCAUCCCAUGUUCCACCAAGUGUCCCUUUCCCAUGACCCACCCCAUGUCCAUCCCAUGUCCCAUCAGAUGUCCACAGCCCAUGUCCAUCACAUGUCCCAUCCCAUGUUCCACCAAGUGUCCCUUUCCCAUGACCCACCCCAUGUCCAUCCCAUGUCCCAUCAGAUGUCCACAGCCCAUGUCCAUCACAUGUCCCAUCCCAUGUUCCACCAAGUGUCCCUUUCCCAUGACCCACCCCAUGUCCAUUCCAUGUCCCAUCAGGUGUCCCCCACCCCAUGUCCAUCCCGUGUCCCACUCAAGGUGUUUCCCACCCCAUGUCCAUUCCAUGUCCCAUCAGGUGUCCACAGCCCAUGUCCAUCCCGUGUCCCACCCAAGGUCCAUCACGUGUCCCAUCCCAUGUCCCACCCAAGGUCCAUCACGUGUCCCAUCCCAUGUCCCACCAACUGUCCCUUUCCCAUGACCCCCCCCAUGUCCAUCCCAUGUCCCAUCAGGUGUUCCCCACCCCAUGUCCAGCCCAUGUCCCAUCAGGUGUCCACAGCCCAUGUCCAUCCCGUGUCCCACCCAAAGUCCAUCAGGUGUCCCAUCCCAUGUUCUAUCAGGUGUCCACAGCCCAUGACCAUCAUGUGUCCCAUCCCAUGUCCAUCAUAUGUCCCAUCCCAUGUCCCAUCAGAUGUCCACAGCCCAUGACCAUCAUGUGUCCCAUCCCAUGUCCCACCAACUGUCCCUUUCCCAUGACCCACCCCAUGUCCAUCCCAUGUCCCAUCAGGUGUUCCCCACCCCAUGUCCAUACCAUGUCCCAUCAGGUGUCCACAACCCAUGUCCAUCCUGUGUCCCACCCAAGGUCCAUCAGGUGUCCCAUCCCACGUCCCACCAAGUGUCUUUUUCCCAUGACCCACCCCAUGUCCCAUCAGGUGGUCCCAUCCCAUGCGCUCCACUAUGUCCCAUCCAGUGUCCAUCCCACAGCCAUCUUGUGCCUUGUCCCACAUCCCAUCAGGUGUCCCCUUCCCAUGUCCAUCCCAUGCCCCACCUUAUGUCAAUCCUCUGCCCCACCCCAUGUCCCAUCCUGUGCCCCACCCCAUGUCCCACCCCAUGUGCCCUUCCCACGUCCCAUCCCAUGUCCACCCCACGCCCACCCCGUGUCCCACCGUGUCCCCAAGUGCCACCAUACCGAUGUAGAUGAAGAAGGGUGCAAUGGAUGCAGCACCCUGUCACGAUGGGUGCAGCACCCCAGGAAGGCUGCAGUGGCACAACGGUUGCAGCACCCUGGGGAAGGUGCAAUUACACGAGGGAUGCAGCACCCUGGGGAAGGUACAGCACCCUGGGAAGGGUGCAAUGGAUGCAGCACCCUGGAAAAGAUGCAGCACCCCGGGAAGGGUGCAGUAACGUGA
rnacentral:lncRNA from 1 species